rnacentral:misc_RNA from 1 species
UACGGAGGGGGCGAGCGUUAUUCGGAAUUAUUGGGCGUAAAGGGCGCGUAGGCGGCCCGUCAAGUCAGGGGUGAAAGCCCUCGGCUCAACCGAGGAAUUGCCUUUGAAACUGACAGGCUCGAGGCCGGGAGAGGGAAGUGGAAUUCCAGGUGUAGCGGUGAAAUGCGUAGAUAUCUGGAGGAACACCAGAGGCGAAGGCGGCUUCCUGGACCGGUUCUGACGCUGAGGCGCGAAAGCAUGGGGAGCAAACAGG